UGGGGAAUAUUGCACAAUGGGCUCAAGCCUGAUGCAGCGACGCCGCGUGAGGGAUGGAGGCCUUCGGGUUGUAAACCUCUUUCGCCAGUGAAGCAGGCCAUCUUCUUUGUGGGGUGGUUGACGGUAGCUGGAUAAGAAGCGCCGGCUAACUACGUGCCAGCAGCCGCGGUAAUACGUAGGGCGCGAGCGUUGUCCGGAAUUAUUGGGCGUAAAGAGCUCGUAGGCGGCUGGUCGCGUCUGUCGUGAAAUCCCCUGGCUUAACUGGGGGCUUGCGGUGGGUACGGGCCGGCUUGAGUGCGGUAGGGGAGACUGGAAUUCCUGGUGUAGCGGUGGAAUGCGCAGAUAUCAGGAGGAACACCGGUGGCGAAGGCGGGUCUCUGGGCCGUUACUGACGCUGAGGAGCGAAAGCGUGGGGAGCGAACAGG
rnacentral:rRNA from 1 species